rnacentral:rRNA from 1 species
AACGAACGCUGGCGGCAGGCUUAACACAUGCAAGUCGAGCGCCCCGCAAGGGGAGCGGCAGACGGGUGAGUAACGCGUGGGAACGUACCCUUCUCUGCGGAAUAGCUCCGGGAAACUGGAAUUAAUACCGCAUACGCCCUUUGGGGGAAAGAUUUAUCGGGGAAGGAUCGGCCCGCGUUGGAUUAGCUAGUUGGUGGGGUAAAGGCCUACCAAGGCGACGAUCCAUAGCUGGUCUGAGAGGAUGAUCAGCCACAUUGGGACUGAGACACGGCCCAAACUCCUACGGGAGGCAGCAGUGGGGAAUAUUGGACAAUGGGGGCAACCCUGAUCCAGCCAUGCCGCGUGAGUGAUGAAGGCCUUAGGGUUGUAAAGCUCUUUCACCGGUGAAGAUAAUGACGGUAACCGGAGAAGUAGCCCCGGCUAACUUCGUGCCAGCAGCCGCCGCAG